ensembl:misc_RNA Y_RNA Y RNA
CGCUGGUCCAAGUGCAGUGGUGUUUACCACUAAUUGAUCGCAACCAGUUACAAAUUUCUUUGUUCCUUGUCCACUUCCACUGCUUCACUUGACUAUCCAAAA